rnacentral:lncRNA from 1 species
AGGAGAUCAUCCUGGAUUAUCUAGGUGGGCCCUGAAUCCAGUGACAAGUAUCCUCAUAAGAGACAUACAGAGGAGAAGACUGACACAGAAAAGGAGACAAUGGAACCAUGGAGGCAGAGAUUGGAGUGAUGCAGCCACCAGUCAAGGAAUGCUGGCUGCCAGAAGCUGGAAGAGGCAAGAGAAGGAUUCUUCCCCAGAGCCUCUGCAGCGUGGGCCUGCCGACACUUUGAUUUCGGACGUCUGGCCUCCAGAAGAUUUCACAAGCUGGCAUUUUUGUGGGCGGUUGUGUGAUGUCGCUAAGAGUGUCCGAGCCUUGGAAACGCAACGGCUACUGCUACUGCUGUUUCACCUCCAGGACGCCAGACACCAAGGUUUCUAUUCAUCAAUGUUCCUCAUACAGUAUAAAAACCAGCAGUGGUCCAAGGAGGAAGCUUGGGUGCUUAUUGAGACCUUGCUGGCUUUGAUGAAGCUACUGCCAUGUUGGAGAGGUGUACAUGGCAAGGUGUAUCUGGCAGCCUCCAGAUAGAGAGAAACUGAGACCCUCAUUCCAAGAACCCAGGAAGAACUGAAUCCUGCCAACUACCACAUGAGUGACCUGCGAAGCUUGUCCUUCCCAAGUUGAGCUGUGAGAUGACUACGGACCCAGCUGACACCUUGAUUGCAGCUUGUGAGAGGGCUUGAAGCAGAGCACCUCAUUAAGCUGUGUCUGGAUUCUUGGCCCACCAAAACUGGGAGCUAAUUAAUGUUGCUUUAAGCCAUUAAUUUUUGGGGUAAUUUGUUAUGCAGUAAUAGACAACUAAUACACAAAAGCUACAAGGAUCAUGUUUUAAUCUAUACUAGUUGAUCUAACUAUAUACUGACAAUAGGUGAAUUAUAUGGCAUGUGAAUUAUACCUCAAU